rnacentral:snRNA from 1 species
GCCUAAGGGCAUUUGGUCCAUUUGAAACGAUGCAGAGAAGAUUAACAUGGUCCCUGCACUAAGGAUUACACGCUCAAUCAAAGAGAAGCUACCAAAUUUU